rnacentral:rRNA from 1 species
UACAGAGGUCUCAAGCGUUUGUUCGGAUUCAUUGGGCGUAAAGGGUGUGUAGGUGGCGCCGUAAGUCGGGUGUGAAAUUUCGGAGCUUAACUCCGAAACUGCAUUCGAUACUGCGGUGCUUGAGGACUGGAGAGGAGACUGGAAUUCAUGGUGUAGCAGUGAAAUGCGUAGAGAUCAUGAGGAAGACCAGUGGCGAAGGCGGGUCUCUG